AGCUCCAAUAGCGUAUAUUAAAGUUGUUGUGGUUAAAAAGCUCGUAGUUGGAUCUCGGCGGACUGAGGGCGGUUCGCUUGAUUGAGUGCUACUGCUUUGUAGGCUGGGCUUUUGCUGGAGGAUUAGGGGGGCUCUUGAUCGAGUGUCUCUGGAUGCCAGCAGGUUUACUUUGAAAAAAUUAGAGUGCUCAAAGCAGGCUAAAAUGCCUGAAUAUUCGUGCAUGGAAUAAUAGAAUAGGAUGUCGAUCCUAUUUUGUUGGUUUUCGGGACUCGACAUAAUGAUAAAUAGGGACAGUCGGGGGCAUUUGUAUUCAAACGACAGAGGUGAAAUUCUUGGACCGUUUGAAGACAAACUACUGCGAAAGCAUUUGCCAAGAAUGUUUUCA
rnacentral:rRNA from 1 species